UUCUUUUACCAAUUCAAACUAAAAUUACUAAGAGAGAAUGACCUGCACCAAACUUUAUACGAAUGGGUUUGUUUUUAAUCGUGUUGUGAGGAAUUUGAUCUGAAAAGGGUCGUUCUUCAAUGGAUUUUAGGUAUUCGGAUCUGUGGUAGCUGACAGAGGGACAAAGUCCGAUGAAAAAUUCACUGGAAACACCCAAGAAUAACCAGUUUUGACUCCCUUCUUUCCCCAAUUUUGAU
rnacentral:lncRNA from 1 species